rnacentral:lncRNA from 1 species
CAAGGACAGAUGGGUGUAUUUUUUAUGAGGGCGUAGCAGAGGAAAAAUGUUACUAAAUGAGCAGGACCCGUCACUGCCGGAUAUGAAGGCAACAUGAGGGAUCUUGAAAGACAUCAGCAGGGAAGAACCAUCAUGUACAAUGCACAUAACGAGGCUCAUUACUUCCUGCUUACAACCUGGUGCUACCGCUUACUACUGUCUGUAAUGCACUUACAGUAGUUCGUUCUGGAGCUGUUGCAUGGGCUGACGGUGAAACGGGUAUGCCAGGGUAUCGCCUGAUCCAGGACACGGCCGGACUACAGGCCUUAACUCCUCUCGCAACUAAAGUCCAAUUGGAGGGAUGGUGGACAGGGAGCCAGUCCAGGAGCAUGUACAGCACUUGCAAAACAUUCGGCCACCGCCCGCAGAUGAUCCGGCGCACACUGUGUCUUGGUGCCUGUGGUCAGGGGUUGGGAGCAGGCUCCAGCUCCUCAGGGAUGCAGUGCUGAGACUGUCUGGUGGUCGACUAGACCGGAUAGAGUAUUUUAUACGUAUGAAACGGCCAUCCAUUUCCUAACCCUUGUGAAACUAUUUCAACACUGUGAUAAAACUGCCAUUUUGCAUUUUCUAAAACUGCCUCAUCUGGUGAUCUGGCCAGGCUUUAAAGGUUGAGAUCCUUCCCCUCAAGAAACAGAAGGUGGCGUAGUCUAGUCUACUCAGACGGCCCAAUUCUGCUAUUUC